rnacentral:rRNA from 1 species
CGAACGGGGAGGAGCCCAGAGCCUGAAUCAGUGUGUGUGUUAGUGGAAGCGUCUGGAAAGGCGCGCGAUACAGGGUGACAGCCCCGUACACAAAAAUGCACAUGCUGUGAGCUCGAUGAGUAGGGCGAGACACGUGGUAUCCUGUCUGAAUAUGGGGGACCAUCCUCCAAGGCUAAAUACUCCUGACUGACCGAUAGUGAACCAGUACCGUGAGGGAAAGGCGAAAAGAACCCCGGCGAGGGGAGUGAAAAAGAA